GGUGCUAUAGUUCCUCUGAGAAAGGGAACAUAAUAUUCACAGGAGCAAUAAGGGAGGCAAUGUGUGGAGCAGAGACUGAAGUAAAUGCCACGCAGAGACUGCCCUACCUCUAUAAACAGUCACCAAACCCUGACACUAGACAAGAAGCAUAUACCAAAAGGAGCAUGCUAUGGCUGUCUCCAGAGGGGCCCUGCCAGAACCCUACAAAUACAGAGGCAGAAACUAGCACUCCCUUCUUUAUAACUGUGCUUGCAGAAAUAGCUCUAAUUUAACUUCCUGAGCAGAAAAUUUUUGCUAAUGCUAUGUAUCUAACAGGAAAUUGGAGGGAUAAAGUGAUAAAGCACCAGGUACAGAAGGCAUCCAUCAGAGCAUCCUGAUUCAGAGGAGAGAACAUGUGCCUUUUUCACUUCCUAAGUUCCACCCAAAGAGAUGGGUGUUCAAGGUUGUGUAAGAAGAGAUAAAGGCUUCUCCCUGGGUUCCACUAUGCAGUCUCACACAAAGGGCAUCUGGAUGUGGUGAAUGCCUAAUCCCUAGAAGCCAGAACACACCCUGGUUCUGCUUGACAAGGAGGGCCUGGAAGACAUAGAGAAGGUUGUUUUCCGUUUCCAUGAAGAGACACCAUAACCAGGGCAACUAUUAUUUUUUUAAAGUCUUAAGCAAUCAUUCUUCUGUCUCAGGGGCUUAGUCUAUUAUCUCCAAGGUAGAGAAGAUGACAGUAGGAAUGACAGUUAUGGUGCUAGAACAGCAGCUGAAAGAUACAUCCUGAUCUGUAAGCAGUAGAAGAGAAAAGAGAUGGGAGAAAAAGCAAAAAAAAGAGGGGUAGGGGAGAUGCAGAGAGACUGGCACUGGCAUAGGCUUUUGAAACCUUAAAUCCUAUCCCUAAUGACAUACUUUCUUCUGUGAGACCACACCUACUAAUUGUUCUAAUUCUUCCAAAAUUUUCCAAUUCAUUCAUGAUGACAAAGCAUUUAAAAAUAUAAGCCUAUGGGGGCCAUUCUCAUGCAAUCCACCAAUAUUUGCAAAUUUCAUGGAAGAUCACAUCACUAUUCUUCCCAAUAUGAGACAAACAAAACUCUUAUUUAAAGACCUUAUUUUCCCUAGUGCUAAAAUGACUUUUACUAUAACAUGUCCUGUGAAUGAAGCCCUGAAUGCCAGGAUAGAUUUUAGUAACUGACCAACAUUAUGACAUAUAAGUGUGACAUCCUUCAUGAUCUCACGUACAUGGAUACACAUUGUUGUGUUUGAAUUACACAGCAUGAUUUGAAGAUUCAUAAAAUCAUUGUACAGGUAGAAAAUUGGUAUGUAGUAGAAAUGACUAACCUUUGAUGUCAUAGCUGAUGGGGUAGAUACAAAGGCCAUCUUUGCCUACUUGAGUUGAUGGAAAGUCUCUUAGACACUCCUCAUCAUUCACUGGACUACAAGAUGACAACCAGAACAACUGCUGGAUCUUUGACUUGGCAGUUCUCAGCAGCACCUUCAUCUACAACAGCACAGGAACCAUCAACCAGUAGGCCAUGGACCAGCUGCUGUAUCCUUUUGGUGUGCCCUAGGAUAGUCCGAAACCUCGAAAAAACAGCAUCAUUAUAACAUCAGGGAGUGUCUUUGUGCCUCAAGGACUUCUGGAGCACCUAUGUGUCAGCUAUCAUCAAGUAUCUAUCUGUAGUUACAGCCACAUUCAGCCUUUCACAUUUAGCUGCUGAUGGAACACCACAUGAAGUUAAUGGAAGAGCUAUCACUCUUGAUGAGUACCUGGAGAGUUCACUGGUUUGGAGACCAAGUAAACAGGCACAAUGGAAGUUUGGUUAUCAUGGUAAUGAUAGAGCCUGGUGACAAGAAGCAACUCCCCAAACUAGAGUUUAUGAGGGAGAAGGAGCUGAAUAAAGAAUUUGUAGAAGUUGCAAAUUUUGCCUUGUACUUCUUAAGCAAUUCUGGUGUCAAAACUCUCUGUGGUGGCAUCACAGUCGAGGGGAAAUGUCUAAAAAUGCUAGUGGAGAACUAUGUUGGUGCCAUCUGAAGUGGAGAACCUCCCUGAAUGGAGAGUGCUAUCCUGAGUUUGGCUCAGAUAGAGAACUCAUCUGCCUUGCAAAAGACCAUCACCUACUAUGAAGAAAAGAUGAAUCAGAAUGUCCAGAUGCUCAUUGUUACCCUAAAGGACCUGCUGGAUUGGCACAGGACCUGUGAAAGUGAGGCCACUGAGGUCUUCAUGAAUAAUUCUUUCAAGGAUGUAGACCUAAAGUUCCAGAAGAAAUUAGAGGAACAGGAAAAACUUCUCCAGGAUGGAUUCAAGAAUGAGAGCAAGAAACUAUAUGAAGAGUAGAGGAAAUCAAGAACAUGUUAUCUUCACAGUGUAAAGUUCUUUAAAACUCAAACAGACUAAUGUUCUCUACCCUGGUUCCACUCAAUAGGAGCAAACUUCAGGGACCACUUUGGAUUGUGAAGCAGCUUGGCAAUGAACUAGGCUUGAAGACAUGACACUUUAUUGGGAAGAACUUAGAAAUAAAGAUAGCAAAGUGGAGUUAACAUGUAAAAAGAAAGCUUGGCUUAUGAAAUAAAUAAUUCAGUUCUUAUUUGUGUUAGAACUAAAGAUUCAUAUGAUCUUUAAUUGGGUCUUAUAUUUGAAAUUAUAACCAUGGACUCUGUAUACAUACUAAAUUGUAUCCUUGGGAUUUGUUUUUACCACACAGUGAUAUGGCAGCUGCCUUUGGGUAGACCUUUUUGUAUCACAUACACACUCUUCUGGAUAUUCUUAGUCAUAUGCUCUUAACUAAUUCAAAAAUUUAGCUUUGCCCCAAGCUGAGAUUGGCAUGUUGUAAACAUGUUGAAAAUCUGAAUAUAACCAUAUGAUACAGCUCCUUGGGUCUCAUGCUGUCUUCAGACUUUGGUUCCUAGGAUAGACAAUGGGCAGUGCUCAGUGUGGGAAGGCUGUGUGGCUGCUGGAUGAGCAGAGAAGUCCAUUGGAGAGUGGGAGAAAAACCCCUCCAGGCAGAAUGCAGCUGUGAGUGGGAGUUGCCCCUCCCCUUUAGAGAAAUUCUUGCUGUUUCAUGCUUCAGCUUUCUGUUUCCUUCUGAAUUUCUCUUUAUAAUUUUUAAAAACAAUAUAUCCUUCGAAGAGUUUUAGAAUGACUUCCACAAUCACGGAAUGGAGAACUCAAAAUAAUUUCUUUCUGUUCUUCAGAAGUUCAUGACCACAGUUCCACCCCUUCGAAAACCAAGCUUCAUUUUUAUAUGACUUUUGCUACUAUGACAUAAUUUGCAAGUCUCUAAAUAAAGGCAUUCAACAAUGUAGAGAA